rnacentral:rRNA from 1 species
AGUUUGAUCCGGCUCAGAUUGAACGCUGGCGGGAUGCUUUACACAUGCAAGUCGAACGGCAGCACGGACUUCGGUCUGGUGGCGAGAGUGGCGAACGGGUGAGUAAUGUAUCGGAACGUGCCUAGUAGCGGGGGAUAACUACGCGAAAGCGUAGCUAAUACCGCAUACGCCCUUCGGGGAAAGUGGGGACCUUCGGGCCUCGCAGAAUUAGAGCGGCCGAUAUCGGAUUAGCUAGUUGGUGGGGUAACGGCUCACCAAGGCGACGAUCCGUAGCUGGUUUGAGGACGACCAGCCACAUCGGGACUGAGACACGGCCCAGACUCCUACGGGAGGCAGCAGUGGGGAAUUUUGGACAAUGGGGAAACCCUGAUCCAGCCAUCCCGCGUGUGCGAUGAAGGCCUUCGGGUUGUAAAGCACUUUUGGCAGGAAAGAAACGCACGGAUAAUACCCCGUGCAACUGACGGUACCUGCAGAAUACACCGGCUAACUACGUGCCAGCAGCCGCGGUAAUACGUAGGGUGCAAGGCACCUCCGGAAUUACUGGGCGCAAGCGUGCGCAGGCGUGGGUUCGAAAGAAAGAUGUGAAAUCCCAGAGCUUAACUUUGGAACUGCAUUUUUAACUACCGAGCUAGAGUGUGCCGCAGGAGGUGGAAUUCCCGCGUGGCAGUGAAAUGCGUAGAUAUGCGGAGGAACACCGAUGGCGAAGGCAGCCUCCUGGGAUAACACUGACGCCUGAUGCACGAAAGCGUGGGGAGCAAACAGAUUACACCGGUAGUCCACGCCCUAAACGAUGUCAACUAGCUGUUGGGGCCUCGGCUCCUGGUAGCGCAGCUAACGCGCGUUGACCGCCUGGGGAGUACGGUCGCAAGAUUAAAAACCUAAAGGAAUUGACAAUCUUGCACAAGUUGUGGAUGAUGUGGAUUAAAUUUGAUGCAACGCGAAAAACCUUACCUACCCUUGACAUGUCUGGAAUCCCGAAGAGAUUUGGGGAGUGCUCGCAAGAGAACCGGAACACAGGUGCUUUCUACGGCUGCCGUCAGCUCGCGUCGUGAGAUGUUGGGUUAAGUCCCGCAACGAGCGGGCAACCCUUGUCAUUAGUUGCUACGAAAGGGCACUCUAAUGAGACUGCCGGUGACAAACCGGAGGAAGGUGGGGAUGACGUCAAGUCCAUGGCCCUUAUGGGUAGGGUCGACACGUCAUACAAUGGUCGGGACAGAGGGUCGCCAACCCGCGAGUGGGAGCCAAUCCCAGAAACCCGAUCGUAGUCCGGAUCGCAGUCUGCAACUCGACUGCGGAAGUCGGAAUCGCUAGUACCUGCGGAUCACAUGUCGCGGUGAAUACGUUCCCGGGUCUUGUACACACCGCCCGUCAGCCACCAUGGGAGGCUUUACCAGAAGUAGUUAGCCUGAACUGGGGCGAGGGCGAUUACCACGGUAGGAUUCAUGACUGGGUGAAGUCGUAACAAGGUAA